GUUCAGAGUUGGAGUGUGUGGCAACGGUAUCAACAUUUCUCUUUUUCUCACACAAAAUGCAAACCGUUCAACGUUGUUGAAAAGUUGGAUCUCCAAUUACAGUAAUGCGGCGAUGUGUUCCAACUCAUAAUUCUUCAGGCGAAGCUUUUUACGUUUUCAUCGCCUUGCAGGCAUCGGAUCCACCCACCCGUUUCUUCACCGCUCCCAGGAAAGAGGGCGGGGAGGUUUCUUUCCUUCUGGGGAACUCCAGAGAAAUUGUAAGUCAUGGACAAGGGUAAGUACUCAGAGGAGUUGAAUGUGGCGGUCCGGGUGGUGCAUAUGGCUUGCUUUCUCUGUCAAAAGGUGCAAAAGGGUUUAUCUUUUUCCAUUUCCGAUGACGUGGUUCAGUCCAAGGACGACGAUUCCCCUGUAACUAUCGCAGAUUGGAGUGUCCAAGCAACAGUAAGUUGGAUCCUGUCUGAAAAUUUUGGUGCUGAAAAUGUUUCGAUAGUUGCUGAAGAGGAUGUUCGAACUCUUUCAAUGUCUGAAUCAGCUGGUAUACUGGAUAAAGUCAUCACCACAGUGAAUGAAUGCUUGGCUGAAGCACCUAGGUAUGGCCUAAAGGGUCCCGGUGUAGCUCUGGAACGAUCACAAGUUCUUGAAGCUAUUAGGAGAUGCAAUUCGAGUGGUGGUCCUGUUGGCAGGCAUUGGGUCCUGGACCCCGUUGAUGGGACACUGGGGUUUGUUCGUCGGGAUCAAUAUGCUGUUGCUUUAGCACUGGUUGAUAAUGGAGAAGUUGUUAUUGGAGUGCUGGGAUGUCCUAAUUAUCCAAUGAAGGUGCAGCUUAAUAACCAAAAUCAGCAGAAUCAUACAAUGCCCGACAUAUACUGGACCUCCACGGGAAAGCAUGAGGAAGGAUGUGUCAUGUACACAAGUCGAGGUUGUGGCCGUUCUUGGAUGCAGCCACUGGUUUUUGACACCGACAAGAAGUUUGAAUGGCCAAACUUUGCAAGAGAAAUACGGGUUUCUUCUAUUGAUGAUCCAGAACUGGCGACUAUUUGUGAGCCAGUAGAGAGAGCUAAUACAAACCAUUCCUUCACAGCUGGACUUGCUUCUUCUGUUGGGCUCAGGAAGCAGCCCUUGCGCGUCUAUAGCAUGGUGAAGUAUGCUGCCAUAGCCUGUGGAAAUGCGGAGAUUUUUAUGAAAUUUGCGAGAGCUGGAUAUAAGGAAAAGAUAUGGGAUCAUGCUGCCGGUGUUCUUCUUGUAGAGGAGGCCGGGGGUGUGGUAACCGAUGCAGGAGGGCGCCCGCUUGACUUUUCAAGGGGGGUAUACCUUGAAGGUCUUGACAGGGGAAUAGUAGCUUGCUCCGGAGUUAAGCUGCAUGACGCGAUUAUUGGAGCUGUUUAUGCAAGCUGGGAAUCAUCUAGUCUAUAACCCAUUCUCUGCUCCAAUAUCAUGGCAGCGGCCCAACGCCAUCGCAGUGCUUGCAGCUCGCCUAGUUGAAGUUCACCAAAAUGUAGUUGAUUGCAGAGAUAAACACUGUGUUCUGAAUCAGCGGCUAUACACUCCCCCUUGUUUCAAGAAGAGAAAAUGGAAGAGAGACUGUAAAUUUCCAAGAAAACAAAAAUUUGAAAGAACCAGACCCAAUGUUGGAUUGCUGGCUGUUCAUUAAUAUAUUUAAUGGUUUAACAUUAAACUUUUUGAACUUUGAUGCUAUGUUAGCAGAAGUCAAUGAAAGCCAGCACAUACUUUGAAGUGUUCUUCCUAUGGGCUAUGCCUACUUUGCAAAUAAAAGUAAUUCUGGUAGAUAA